rnacentral:rRNA from 1 species
UACGUAGGGGGCAAGCGUUGUCCGGAAUCAUUGGGCGUAAAGAGCGUGUAGGCGGCUUGGUAGGUCUGCUGUGAAAACUCGAGGCUCAACUUCGAGCUGUCGGUGGAAACUUUCUGGCUAGAGUCCGGAAGAGGAGAAUGGAAUUCCUGGUGUAGCGGUGAAAUGCGCAGAUAUCAGGAAGAACACCCGUGGCGAAGGCGGCUACCUGGAUUGAUACUGACACUGAGGCGCGAAAGCGUGGGGGAGCAAACAGG